rnacentral:lncRNA from 1 species
UAAACAGCAAUUUAUGGCAUGGGUUUCCUAAGCCAAGCCUUGUGGAAUAUGCUAUUUCCUUGCCUAAGCAGGUAAAGGCGUGACGAUAGCCUGGUCUUUGGAGAGUCAAAUAUUUUCCAGCUUAUUAAAACAUCACUUCUGCUUCUUUCCCAAAGACUAUUGGGAGCCUCCAGUAAACUGAUGCGUACAAAGUGUAACUUAUCAAAUCUGCAGUAAAUUGAUGCUCAG